rnacentral:rRNA from 1 species
UACGUAGGGGGCAAGCGUUAUCCGGAUUUACUGGGUGUAAAGGGAGCGUAGACGGUGCAGCAAGUCUGAUGUGAAAGGUCGGGGCCCAACCCCGGGACUGCAUUGGAAACUGUUGAACUGGAGUACAGGAGAGGUAAGCGGAAUUCCUAGUGUAGCGGUGAAAUGCGUAGAUAUUAGGAGGAACACCAGUGGCGAAGGCGGCCUGCUGGACGGUGACUGACGCUGAGGCUCGAAAGCAUGGGUAGCGAACAGG